rnacentral:rRNA from 1 species
GACGACGGGUAGCCGGCCUGAGAGGGCGACCGGCCACACUGGGACUGAGACACGGCCCAGACUCCUACGGGAGGCAGCAGUGGGGAAUAUUGCACAAUGGGCGGAAGCCUGAUGCAGCGACGCCGCGUGAGGGAUGACGGCCUUCGGGUUGUAAACCUCUUUCGACAGGGACGAAGCGCAAGUGACGGUACCUGUAGAAGAAGCACCGGCCAACUACGUGCCAGCAGCCGCGGUAAUACGUAGGGUGCGAGCGUUGUCCGGAAUUACUGGGCGUAAAGAGCUUGUAGGCGGUUCGUCGCGUCGAUUGUGAAAACUUGCAGCUCAACUGCAAGCUUGCAGUCGAUACGGGCGGACUAGAGUACUGCAGGGGAGACUGGAAUUCCUGGUGUAGCGGUGAAAUGCGCAGAUAUCAGGAGGAACACCGGUGGCGAAGGCGGGUCUCUGGGCAGUAACUGACGCUGAGAAGCGAAAGCGUGGGUAGCGAACAGGAUUAGAUACCCUGGUAGUCCACGCCGUAAACGGUGGGUACUAGGUGUGGGUUUCCUUCCACGGGAUCCGUGCCGUAGCUAACGCAUUAAGUACCCCGCCGG